UGAAAACAGCUUAUAGGCAACUUAUAAGCCAAUCCAAACGGGCUCUAAAUGUGAUGUUGUGAUUGCUCCUUUUGGAUUAGGAAUACGCAAUUUUUUAAAUGUUACAGUCUACUGUCUUGUUGACAUUGAAUUGAUAAAGUAAUAGCAUCUAUAUUUGGAUUACUUAUAAGUAGUUCUAACAAGUUUUACUAUGGUUUUGGAUUACUUUUGCAGUGCAAACUAGGAGAGGAAGAUGGUAUGUUGAGAACAAAACUGAUGACAUUGCCUGUGAAGGGCACAUUUUCCUUUAUUAUUAACAGAACAACUAGACUCUUGGACUGAGAAAGAGAUUUGCGAAAGAACUUAGUGUAAAAUGGGAAGACGACACUUUGAGAACAAAGCCGGUGACACUGCCUAUGAAGGCCACGUGUUUCCUCUGUUUGUAACAGAACAACUAGACUAUUGGCCUGAGAAAGGCAUUCGCGAAAGAACUUGGAUGAAUGUGCACGAAGCAAGAAAAUUUUGCCCAAAUGGGGCCGCAGAAUUAUUAGAAGUUGCCUCACAUCACAAAGCAAACAGACCAAAGGGGAACUGUAAUCGAAUGUAGCUCCAUUGUUUGAGUAGCUAUACCUCCUUUAGGAUGUAGAGCUCAAAUAUUUUCUCUGCCACUUCCAAGUUCUACUGAAGAAGUGUAGAGUUUAUUGAUACUGAUCCACUGUCAAAUCUACAUGUGGUAGAAAUAGUUAGCGGAUAGGAACUAAUUACUGAAACUGGUCAAUCUAGCUGGUGGAUUAAGUAGUUCACAGCAACUCCAUUGUUAAGGGAACAACCAAAAAAAGUACUGGAAGUAUAAUUUUUGUUAUCUCAGAAUUGGAGUUGUGUGACAUAAUAGAUAAUUAGAAUCAGAGCUAUCAAAGGAGAUGAACAUGUACAUAGCUAUCAGAAAUGUUGAUGUUGGAAAAUAACUGCAUCGGAUUAGUGGAUUUUCUCAUGAUUUUCUAAUUCUUUUUCCCUAGAUCUCUAGCAUUCUUUAAUUCUUCAUAUUGUUGGCAAAGCUAGAAGGUUGCAGUCAUUUAUCAUAGCAUUCAGAAGGUUUAACAGGUUUUAAUUUUGCUGGAAUAUUACGUAUUCAGAUGAUAAAAAAUUCGCAUAGGAUUUUUUUAGUAUCAAGUUUACUCUGUAAGCCAUUAUUUUGCAUUUUUUAGGACCAAGUUUCAGAUUUUGACUUUGUUGUUUAUAUGAUCCGUGUGGAAAGAUGUAUUUUUGCUGUUAAGGUUGUAGUCACUUUAUUAACUAUACCUAUUCCCUGGUCAUCCGACCAAUAUAAAGAUUUCACCGUGUUAUCAUUGGUAGAUGAAGAUGCCUUUGAAGUUUGUCUAAUAAGUCCACAGAGAAAAGGCAAAGGGUGGUUAUUUCCCAAAGGUAGCGACUGAUCCAUGGGUUUAAAACUUCUUAAUAUUUCCCACAAAGGGAGGUCGGGAAAAAGAUGAAACAAUCAAUGAUGCAGCACAACGUGAGCCAGUGGAGGAAGCUAGAGUAUGAGGGGAUGUUAAGAGCAAACUGGGAAGAUGGUACUUUAGAACGGAAACGUUGACACUGCCUAUGAAGAGAACAUGUUUCCUCUGUUUGUAACAGAACAACUCUUGGCCUGAGAAAGAGACUCAUGAAAAAACUUGAUGAAUGCGCGUAAAGCCAGAGAACUUUGCCAAAAUGGGUGCAUGAAAGAGGCCGUAAAGCUAUUAGCAAGUCGCUAAACAUCACUGAGCAAGCGGACCAAAGGGGAAUUAUUUCCUGUAAUAGAACGUACCUCUAGUGGUAGAGCAAUUAUUCUUCCUUUGGCGUGUAGAGAUCGAGAAGCGUAGACUCCAUUGAUAUCCACUGUCAAAUCUAAAUGCUAGCAGUAGUUUAUGAAUAUGAAUCACUGAAAAUGGUUAAUCUAGCAUGCGGAUCAAGUAGUUCAGAUCAACUCCAAUUUUAAGGAAACAAAGAAGUACUAAAUGCAGUCAUAGGAGUACACUGUUUGAUUGUUAUCUCAGAACUGGAAUAUUAGUAGUAAGCUAGAAAUAAUCUUAAUGAAGUAAUGAUCAUUUGUAAAUAGCUACCUGAAAUGGUGUAUUAGAAAAUUAUUGCAUUUAGUUAUUGAAUGUUCUCUUUGAUUUCUUAA